CAGCCGUAAACAAUGUGCGUUAGGUGUGUCGGUAACCACGUGUUACUGAUGCGCCGAAGAGAAAUCGUGAAACGCACCACCUGGGAAGUACGGUCGCAAGGCUGAAACUUAAAGGAAUUGGCGGGGGAGCACCACGACAGGUGGAGCCUGCGGUUUAAUUGGAUUCAACGCCGGACAUCUCACCGGAUAAGACAGCUGAAUGAUUGUCAAUCUGAAGGUUUUACAUGACUAGCUG
rnacentral:rRNA from 1 species